UUUUGUGAAUGGUAAGUUCUGCAAGGAUCCGAAGCAAGCGAAGGCAGAAGAUUUCUUCUACUCAGGCCUCAACCAGGCAGGGACCACUAAUAAUAGAGUCAAAUCCAACGUGACAACGGUCAAUGUCGACCAGAUUCCAGGGUUAAACACUUUGGGAAUAUCCUUGGUCCGCAUAGACUAUGCACCUUAUGGACAAAACCCACCUCACACGCACCCUCGUGCCACUGAGAUCCUUGUUCUUGUCGAGGGAACAUUAUAUGUUGGUUUUGUUUCUUCCAAUCAAGACAAUAACCGUUUAUUCGCCAAAGUGCUGAACCCCGGCGACGUGUUCGUGUUCCCCAUAGGAAUGAUCCAUUUUCAAGUGAAUAUCGGGAAGACCCCAGCAGUGGCUUUUGCUGGACUAAGUAGUCAGAACGCUGGUGUUAUCACGAUCGCAGACACUGUGUUCGGGUCAACGCCCCCGAUUAAUCCAGAUAUUCUCGCUCAGGCGUUUCAGUUAGAUGUCAAUGUUGUCAAGGAUCUUGAAGCGAAGUUUAAAAACUAAAUCUAGUCACCAACAAUACGAGUGUUUAUUGUUUUAACACUUAAGUAAUGAUGUAUCACGAAUUAAAGAUUUAUGCUUAAUAAAAUAAAAAGGUGUUUAUCACCUGAUUUGAUAUUUAAUAUUAAAUUUCCUUUUCCUAUAUAUGAUUCUGUCUUACAACUUUUUAAAUGUCGGGGUAUUAAAAUUUUCUUGGAUAUUCAAUAAGUCUUUAAGAGUUGUUAGAAUAAUUAAAAAUAAAAAAAAUGUACAAGCCAUCAGAUUAUCUAUAUUUCUUAUAUAAUAAAGUAAAGUUUCUUGAAAAUGAGUUUUAAGAAGCUCACAUUUGGCGCUUGUUUCAUAUUCACUAUAUAUAUUUCUAGACAGUCGCCUAAAUAUUUAUCAUUAUUUGCAAAAUUUUAAUAAAAAACAAAUUGAAAAAAUAUUAUUUGACAUUAUCUAUAUGCAAUCAAAAUCACAAUAAAGUAAAAAGCCUCCAUGAAUUAUUUAACAUUAUAAAUUAAUCAUAAAUUAUUUUGAUUUUGGAUUCCUCCUUUCUUAUAUAAUAAAGUAAGGUUUCUUGAACUGAGCUUUAAAAAGCUGACAUUUGGUACUCUAUUCUUUUGACACGUGUCUUUUUAAUAAUUUUAGUGUAAGAGAUCUAUUCAAUAAAUUAUUUUACAAAACUUUAUUGUUUCAUAUUCACUAUAUAUACUUCUACACAGUCACCUAAAUAAUUAUCAUUAUUUGCAAAAUAUUAGUAGAAAAACAAAUCGAAAAAAUAUUAUUUGACAUUAACUAUAUGCAAUUAAAAUCACAAUAAAGUAAAAAGCCUCCAUGAAUUAUUUAACAUUAUAAAUUAACCAUAAAUAAUUUUGAUUUUGGAUUCCGCCUUUAUAAAAGUUAAGAUAACUCGAUACAAUAGUAAAAAGUUAUAUAAAAAAUAUAUGGUUCUACUGAUAGCAUAAAUAAACAAUUAUUAAAUUUAUACAAAUAGUUAACAUAAUUUAUUGAUAUAUAUAUAUAUAUAUAUAUAUAUAUAUAUAUAUAUAUAUAUAUAUAUAUAUAGAUUGAUAUAUGCUUCUAAUGUUGUUUGCCUUUUCUUAUAUAUUAUUUUCUUAAUUUUGUUUUACUGUAUUACACAUUUUGUAGUGUUUUUUUUUUUUUUUUUUUUUUUGCUCAAAACAUUUUGUAGUGUUAUGUUUUCAAAUUGUCCAAACAAUAGUAAAUAGUUUUAGGCACUCUAAUUAUUUUUCACUCAUAUAAUAUAAGAAACUAUUAAUAUAUUGUUUAUGAUAAUUGAGAUUACUAAUCAUAUUCAUCACCGUAAAUUUGUGAAUGUCAGUUUAAGAAUUUAACUCAUCUAAAAGUAACAUUGCAUUAACAAAACAAAUUUUGUACUAACGAGUUUUUUUGUUAUUGUCUUUUCCUGUACAUGUCUAGGGUUAGGAUCCGAAUACAACACAAGUAAUUGUCUUUUGUCUUCUUCUUUUGUUUUAGGUAUGCCCUUCUCAUUACCGAGCUCCUUGGCUCUACAAGGAAGGGUGUUCACUUGUGGAGUGUUCUCUUUCGAGAUUCGAUCAUAGAGGCUAUUGCUCUGUGAAUCACAGAGAAUUAGCUACAGUCUUUUCACAUCAAGGUAGGCUACAUCGCUGCUUUUUAUUUAACCAUUUGCAUCUUUUACUUUUUGUAUUCACCAAAUAUAUAUUUUGUGCCUCAUAAGAUGGGUGUUUUAUAUUUUUUUUGUGUCUACUUUCAAUAUUAAAGGUAGAUAUGAGAAUAAAAAUGGUUAAAUACAAAAAUUUGUGAACAAUUUUAUAUAAGACAAUAAUAAAUACUACAUAAAUAUGAAUUUUUUUGUAACAUCUAAUUCAUACAUGUGUUGACACUAACUAAAUGACAGUAAUUAAUUCAUUCAAACAUAUAUGUAACAUCAAUAAUUUACAAUAAAUUCAAAACCAUUUAACCUAAAUCUACUUCUAUAUAUAUUUAAAAACUUUCCUUCUCUUGAUCAAACUCAAACUAAACUAAACAAACUAAAAAUUUCACCACCACAAGUCUCAUAUAUUUUAUUGUAUAUAAUAAACUAAGGUUUUUGAAAAUAAGCUUUAAAAAGCUGACAUUUGGCACUCUAUUCUUUUGACAUGUGUCUUAUAUAAUUUUAGUGUAAGAAAUAUAUUCAAUUAAUUUUUGAGAUCAAUAAUCAAAUCAUUCCAUGAUCAAAGAAAUAAUUAAAAGCUAUUUUUAAUUUUGUAUUAUUUUGAAUUUUGUAGGAUUAAUUUGCAUUUUUUGAAGAUGAAUGGUAAAGUUGCAAAAAUGGGCGAGUUGGAGGGUUUUUUUUUUUGCACAAAACCCUUGUGUGUAUAUAUAUAUAUAUAUAUAUAUAGAUAGAUAGGGCAAUUUUCAAAAAUACCAUGCUUAACUUUUUGUUUUCUAUAGAUACUACUUAAGUUUUAGUUUUUCAAAAAUACCACUUAAGCUUUAAUUUUUCAAAAAUACUAUAAAAUAAACUAAAAUUUAACUUUCAACUUUCAAAAUUAAAACUUAAACAUUAAACCCUACACUUUAAAAAUUAUACUAUUUUUGGAAUACCAACACUUUCGGUGGUAUUUUUUGGAACAACAAACUAAUAGUUAUAUUUUCUUAAACAAAACUUGAAAGUAUGGUAUUUUUAAGAAUUUCAAGGUAUAAUAGGAUGUAAAGAUAAAUCAUGCAAUUGAUACAAAUUUGAUGUACAUAAAUCAAAGUAUCAUUUUGAUAGAAGCAUGAGUUUUUUAAAGCGCGCCUUGUUGGAAAAUAAUACACAAAUUAUAAUAGUUAAUUUUUAUGUGACCUUCUCACUGACAUGAUGGAAAUUUGGUCCUUGAUUUUGUCCUUGUUGCAAUGGUUCAAGUCUAAGAUUUAUACCAACUACUAGAUUUUAAUCCGCGGUACACUGCGGAAUGAUUUAUUUUUAAAGUUAGUAUAAAAAUAUUUUGAAAUUAUAUCUUCUUAUAAAAUAUCUAUUUAUAUUAUAGUUUACAAUUUUUAUUAAGUAUCGGUAUACCACGAGUCCACAAGACAAUAGAUAAUAAACUGAGGAUUUAACCCGUAUUAAACGGCAUGUUAAUGAUAUUUAUAAAUAUUGAUUCAAAUUCGUCCGCCAUAUAAACUCGUUCCGAAAUAUAACCCGUUUCCUAAUUUCUUAACCCGUCCCGUGAUUUGUUUUUAUUUUAAAAUUUAAUGAUUAUUUAUUAUAUAUAAAAUUUUACAAAUCAUAUCAUUCUCUAAGAAAUUUAUAUUUUAAUAAACCGGAGAUUUAAUCUGUAUUAAAGCGGCAUGUUAAUGAUAUUUUAAAAUUUUAUAAAUAUUGAUUCAAACUCGUCCUCCAUAUAACUUCGUUCUGAAAUAUAACCCGUCCUGUAACAUCUUAACUCGUCCCGUGAUUUUUUUUCUAAAAGUAGUAAUUUUAAAAAUUUAAAGAUUAUUUAUUAUAUAUAAAAGUUUGAAAAUUAUAUCAUUUUCUAAGAUAUUUAUAUUUUAUAGUUUACAAUUGUUAUUAAGUAACAUUAUACCACGGGAAUUUUUUUGGUUUUAUACAAUAUUUUCUAAAUGAGACUGAUUUAAUAUGUCUAAUAUUGGUGGUAUUAAAAAAAAAACUUAAGGAUUUAAUCCGUAUUGAAGCGGCGGAUUAAUGAUAUUUUAAUCUUUUAUUAUUGUUGAUUCAAAAACCUGUCCCGCCAAACUCGUCCGGCCAAAAAAAUCAUUUAUUUUAUUAAUGUAUCUUAUUUAUGAUAUGAUUCUGAAUCAUUGUCUAAAUAUUUUAAUCGAUGUAGAACGUGGAACACACAUUUUCGUUAAUUAGAUAAUAUAUGUCCGUUUUUAAAAUUUCGAAUCAUAAUAUAUGCAGAAAAAAAUUGAUUUUUGUUUUUACUUUAUGUAUUAUAUGAUGAUUCAAAACAGUUAAAAACAAAUCAAACAAAGAUGAUAGGAGAAUAAUAAUUCUAAAUCUUAAUCAAAUCUUCUAAAUAUAUAAUUAUUAAAUAUGGAAUAUCUGGUGUAUGAGCUGAGUUAAAUAUAAGCCGACCCAACAAAUUUUUUAUGACCAAAAUUUGUAAACGGGUCGGGUAUCCAAAUAACCCGUGAAUAUUUUUACCCACCCGUCACCAAAAUGACUGCAAAAAUACUAGUAUAGAUAUUCGCUUAAUUUGAUAUUUUACUGUUAACAUUACUUUUGGUACAUUGAAUUACCCUUUUUUCCCCAACAAACAACAUUGAAUUAGUCUUUACAUUUUAUAAGUUAAAACUAUUCCAAAAGACCAAGGAAAUUCGAAAAUAACCAACACUGUACACGUAAAAAAAUUAUAUUAUCUAGCUAUAGCAAUCGAUUUAAAAUAAAAACAGAAGUUUACAUAGAAGACUUGUUCGUGUUUGUUGUAAUUUUUUUAAUAUCAAGGCUGAUUAAGCAAGUCUUCCGAUAAACAUAAACUUGACGCAGUCAUAAAUACCUUACAUAAAGUAUGCUCUAAUUUUACUUACGUCAUAACAGACUUGCAUAUGUUGUAUUUUUAUUAGGGCUGGGCCGGAUUCGGAUAUCCGGCUUUUUUAGGGUAUCCAGAUCCGGAUCCGGAUCCGGCCGGAUCCGCCUUUUCAUUAUCCGGAUCCGGAUCCGUUCCACCCGGAUAUCCGGAUUUCGGAUAUCUGUAAAAAGAGCCUGAUAUCCGCCGGAUAUCCGGAUCCGGAUUUUUUUUAUAUAAUUUUUUUAUUAAUAUAAAAUUUCAAGAAAAAUAUUUAAAAACAAAUAAUUUAAUAUAAAUAAUUAAAAAUAUUAUUAAAAAAAUAUUAUUCUUAUAUAAAAUAAUAGAAUUUAUUAAUAAAAUUUAAAUAAUAGUAAUAAAAUAUUAAAAAUAUUAUUAUUAUAUAAAAUAUCCCGGAUCCGGAUAUCCGGCUUUAAAUUUUCUAUUAUCCGGAUCCGGAUCCGGCCGGAUCCGCUUUUUCAUUAUCCGGAUCCGGAUCCGCCCCACCCGGAUAUCCUAUUUUUCGGAGCGGAUCGGAGCGGAUCCCGGAUAAUUGGUCUCACCCCUAAUUUUUAUCUAUGAUAUAUCUAGAAGACAAAGAUAUAAAUCUGUCAUAAAUCUGCUAAACUAUAUUUUGUAAAAGCUUUAUCUUUUUUUCUUCUGAAAAAUGAAACAUUUGUUUGGCUUCAUGUAUAUAAUGUUUGGAUGGCAGUUUUGUAGAUACUGACAAGUUGACUAAUAAUAGUUUUAGUUUGUCAAAAAAUGUUAUUAGAAAAAAUAGUAAAAAAUAAGACAUUAUUUUUUUUUUUGCCAUGAAGUUCGAACCUAGAUAGUAAUCGUGGACCCAAAAAUAGUCUUUAGGACUUGAUUGGUUCUCCUGCUAGCACCCUGCUAGCGGUUGCUAGCGGUCGGUUGCAGUUGUUAGCAGUUUGGUAACAAUCAUAGAAAUCGUUCCGUACCGUUUCGAACUGCUCGAAAUCGCUGAAUUUUAAAAGGUUCUUCCCGCAAGCAUUUGCGGUUGUGGGCGGUAGCGGUUGAAUUUUAAAAAAAUUAAAAAAAAUAAAAAAUUAAACGUUUACUUAUAAUUAUUAUAAUAUAUAUUAAUCCUAGAGUAAAUUUGGGAAAAUCCCUUUUUUUUGUUUACACUUUUGAAAAAUACAUUUUCUUUAAUUUCUUUUAAAAACUAUUUUAAAAUAUGUAAAGUUACUAAAAUUUAUUUAAACUUAAUAACAAUUAAUCAAAAUAUCUAUAUUUUAAAUAGAACAUCAAUUUAUUGAUAAUAAUUAAAAUUAAUUUUUACAAAAAUUUUAUAUAACUAACAAUUCCGAAAAUUUACUAUCAUAAAUUAUUUUUUAAACAAUAAUAAAUAACAACAUUCUACCGAUAUUAAGUCAUGAUUUUUGUGAAGUCAUAUGGUAUUGUUUUGAUGUAGAAAACAUAUAAAAUACUUUAUUUCACACAAAAAAAAUCAAAGAGAAUCAUUGAAUUGAAGCAAAGUUUUGUGAUAUGUUAAGUUGAAAAAUGUGCUUGGAGUGUUGGAGAUUAUUUUACUUUAUAUAACAUGAAAAAUAUUUAGUGAAAGAUUUUAUAAUAUUUUAGAUGUUAUCUUGUUAAAUUUAAAUAUAUAAAAUUAAUUAACCAUCUUUGUGUUAAAAAUAUAUAUAAUUCGUAUUAAUAUUGAAUUUUUUUUCUCUAAAUUUUGAAUUUAGUUUUGAUUUAUUAAAAAUGUAGCUUUAAAUUUAAGUUAAUACCAAACUAUCAUUUUUAUAUAUAAAAGAUUGUAGUUUUCAUUAAAAAUAGGAAAAAGGGGUAUUUUCAAAGUAUAACUCAAAAACAUGGUAUUUUUCAAAAUGACCCUUAAUCCUAUAUAUAUCUUUCAUCUUUGCAUCACGUUCUCAUCAGAAACCCUAAUCAAUAUUAUGAAACCCUAUUCGCUCAACGUCUUCCACCCAAACUGAUGAAAAUCAAGAACCAAACGUAAGUAUCAUAUAUCCUUUUAUUCAUUCAUCACCUCAUGUGUAACUCUUUGAAUAUUUUUCAUGACAUCGUUUUUUUGCUUUUCAUUAUGUAUUGUUUUAUUUUUUGAUUGAAUAUAUGUUUCGAUUUAUUUUCUCGAAUAGAAACUCACUUGCUUUUUUAUUGAAUUCAACGUUAUUUACAGUUUGUCCCAUUACUUGAUGCAAUUUUUGAUGUUAAACAAGAUGCAUAAAGUACUAUCUUGUUACAAAAUUUCUUUAUUUUUGAAUAAUUAUUUAGUACUUUAUUUAUGAUUUUAAUUAUUAAGUAUGUUUAAUUUUUCUAAUAUUAUCAUAAUAAUAUACUGGUGUUUUUAUUUUAUUUUUUGUAAUAUUUUUUAUUUAGUUUGGUCAUUUUUCAUUUAACUGCUACCGCACCCGCUGGUUUACUAGUCAUAAAACUCCCGCAAAUGUAUCUAUUUUCAAACGCUAAACCAGUCGUUCAAAACGUUUGGUAAUGCUUGAAGCCGCAACCGUCCGCUUCCGCAAACUCCCGCAACCGCAACCGCAACAGCUGCGUUUAAACCAGUCAGGCCAUAGUUUAUUUCUUUCGGAAAUAUUCCUUUUCGCAAGUGAAGUGAUACUAGGAUUUUUUUUUCUCUUACGGAAACCACUAGAUCAAGAACCAGUUUGGUGCAUUUAUAACGAUAGCAUAACAGCUGCAAAUUAUCGUACUUUGUCACCAUUCACAUAUACUAGUGUAGGCGAUCGAACACCCUAGAUGAUGAAAAUGCCCUUUGAUCAAACUAGAAGAAAAAUGAUGAGAGGAGAAGGAGAUGUUCAAGUUUGUUAUGUUUGAGAUGUUUCACUUUCACUCAUAGCACAAAAGAUAAUUUUCGUUUCACUACUAAAAGAAUUUUUUUUACUUUUUUUAGAACUAUCAUAUAUUGACAAGUUUUUUGAACUAAAUAAUUCUUGUAGAAAAAACCUUGUUUAUUACUCAAAGUACUAAAAAAAUUAGCACAUCUUUGUUAGUCAUUAUGAAUCAGUAGAAGCUUAAAAAGCCUAUAUUUAGUAGUAUUAUUGAGAUCCAUGUCAGCCAUUCCAUGUUAUAAGUUUUUGAAUGUAACUAUGAGUUCUCUGAUUUGGGGAAAAUAUGGCUUCUUUGACAUUUUAAUUAAACUACCAUUUGUUGUAGUGGAAAUAGUCGUGUCUCGUAUCUAGGAAACUUCUUGACUCUAGAAGGUGAUUCAAAGAUAACACUAUUAUAAAUCAAUAUAAUCUAUGGGUAUGGUUUUGCGUAUAUAGUCAUGCAAAUCCAAUUUUAAUUAAAGAUAGAUUAAGUUAUCGAUAGACUUGUUAAACGAUUUUGAACUACCUCUUUGAAACAUGCGGCGAAUUACAAAUUUAUAGAAUAUCUUUGGACCACGUCAAAUAUGACAUGCGCUUUUGUCCUAUAAAUACUGAGCUCAAAUGCUUCACAAUUCACAAGCAACACACACAUUUAUAAAAAUCUUUAAAAAGCAUUAGCAUUAGCUUUUCUUUGAAAAUGAGGGUUCCCAUGUCUCUCGUCUUGAUUACCAUAUCGGCUUUGGUCAUUUCCUUUGGCGAAGCUUCUGAUCCAAGUCCACUUCAAGACUUCUGUGUGGCCAUUAGUGACCUCAAAAAUGGUGGUAAGUUUAAAACUCGAAUUCUUGAACUCUCAACUAAUUAUUAUUCUCCUUUAUUAUUUUGUAAAUUGGAAGUUGUAAUAAAAAGUUUUUCUAAUUAAUUUUUCUACUUGCAGUUUUUGUGAAUGGUAAGUUCUGCAAGGAUCCGAAGCAAGCGAAGGCAGAAGAUUUCUUCUACUCAGGCCUCAACCAGGCAGGGACCACUAAUAAUAGAGUCAAAUCCAACGUGACAACGGUCAAUGUCGACCAGAUUCCAGGGUUAAACACUUUGGGAAUAUCCUUGGUCCGCAUAGACUAUGCACCUUAUGGACAAAACCCACCUCACACGCACCCUCGUGCCACUGAGAUCCUUGUUCUUGUCGAGGGAACAUUAUAUGUUGGUUUUGUCUCUUCCAAUCAAGACAAUAACCGUUUAUUCACCAAAGUGCUGAACCCCGGCGACGUGUUCGUGUUCCCCAUAGGAAUGAUCCAUUUUCAAGUGAAUAUCGGGAAGACCCCAGCAGUGGCUUUUGCUGGACUAAGUAGUCAGAACGCUGGUGUUAUCACGAUCGCAGACACUGUGUUCGGGUCAACGCCCCCGAUUAAUCCAGAUAUUCUCGCUCAGGCGUUUCAGUUAGAUGUCAAUGUUGUCAAGGAUCUUGAAGCCAAGUUUAAAAACUAAAUCUAGUCACCAACAAUACGAGUGUUUAUCGUUUUAAUUCUUAAGUAAUGAUGUAUCACGAAUUAAAGGUUUAUGCUUAAUAAAAUAAAAAGGUGUUUAUUACCUGAUUUGAUAUUUAAUAUUAAAUUUCUUUUUCUUAUAUAUAACUCUGUCUUACAACUUUUUAAAUGUUGGGGUAUUAAAAUUUUCUUGGAUAUUCAAUAAGUCUUUAAGAGUUGUUAGAAUGAUUAAAAAAAAAAAAUGUACAAGCCAUCAGAUUAUAUAUAGAUAGGGUAAUUAUCAAAAAUAACACGCUUAACUUUUUGUUUUCUAUAAAUACCACUUAAGUUUUUGUAUUUCAAAAAUACCACUUAAAUUUUGUUUUUUCAAAAAUACCAUAAAAUAACUAAAAUUUAACUUUCAAAAUUCAAAAUUAAAACUUAAACAUUAAACCCUACACUUUUAAAAUUAUACUAUUUUUGGAAUACAACCACUUUCGUCGGUAUUUUUGAAACAUCAAACUAAUAGUUAUAUUUUCUGAAACAAAACUUGAAGGUAUGGUAUUUUUAAGAAUUGCAAGGUAUAAUAGGAUGUAAAGAUAAACCAUGCAAUUGAUACAAAUUGGAUGUAAAUAAAUUAUAAGAUAGAAGCAUGAGUUUUAUAAAGUGUGUCUUGUUGGAAAAAUAUACACACUAAUAAUAAUAGUUGAUUUUUCAAUCAUCAGUUUUCUAUUUUCGUUGAUUUAAAGCAUGAACUCUGCACAUGAUGAUUAAAAUGCUUAAUUUUAUGUUGAUUUUCAAUUUAAUCAUGAAUUUUCGUUGACAAAAGCCAAUUAAAGCACAAAAUCGAAAUCGAAAAAAAAAUCUUGAUGAGAAACUAAGAUUAAAUCGGGAUUUGUGAAAAAAUCCAGAAGAUUAAAGAGGAAAUCGAGAGAAUUUUUAAUUUGAAAAUUCUAAUUUUGAUAUCAAUUUUCUUAUUUCGAUACCGAUAUUGUGCCUCAAUUGGCUUUGUCAACGAAAAUUCGUGAUUAAAUUGAAAGUCAACAUAAAAUUAAGCAUUUUAAUCACCAGGUACAGAAUUCAUGCUUUAAAUCAACGAAAUUGAACAACUUAUGAUUUAAAUGACAUUUUUCCCAUUGAUUUUUAUGUGACCUUCUCACAGACAAGAUGGAAAUUUGGUCCUUGAUUUUGUCCUUGUUUCACUGGUUCAAGACUAAGAUUUAUACCAACAAUAUUCGCUUAAUUUGAUAUUUUACUAUUAACAUUACUUUAGGUACAUUGAAUUACCCUUUUUUACCCAACAAACAAUAUUGAAUUAGUCUUUACAUUUUAUUUUUUUUGUCAAACAGUCUUUACAUUUUAUAAGUUAAAUCUAUUCCAAAAGACCAAGGAAAUUCGAAAAUAACCAACACUGUACACGUAAAAAAGAAAUAUAUUUUCUAGAUAUAGCAGUCAAUCUAAAAUAAACGCAAACGUUUACAUAGAAGACUUGUUCGUGUUUGUUGUGAUUUUUAAUAUCAAGGCUAAUUAAGCAAGUCUUCCAGUAAACGUAAACUUGACGUAGUCAUAAAUACCUUACAUAAAGUAUGCUCUAAUUUUACCUACGUCAUAACAGAUUUGCAAAAGAUGUUGUAUCUCUCUCUAUCUAAGAGAUAUCUAGAAGACAAAGAUAUAAAUAUCUGACAUAAAUCUGCUAAAAUAUCUUUUAUAUAAGAUUAAUUUCUUUUUUUUCAGAAAAUAAAAUAUUUGUUUGGCUUCAUGUAUAUAAUGUUUGGAUGGCGGUUUUGUAGAUACUGACAAGUUGACUAAUAAUAAUUUUAGUUAUUGUCAAAAUAAAAAGUUAUUAGAAAAUAGUGAAAAACAAGACAUCUUUUAAUUUUUUUGUCAUGAAGUUCGAACCUAGACUCUAGUAUUCGUGGAUCCAAAAAUAGUCUUUAGUCUAUCUUUCGGAAAUAUUCCUUUUCGCAAGUGAACUCAUACUAGGAUUCUUUUCUCUUACGGAAACCACUAGAUCAAGAACCAACCAGUUUGGUGCCUUUAUAACGAUGGCAUAACGGCUGCAAAUUAUCGUACUUUGUCACCAUUCACAUAUACUAGUGUAGGCGAUCGAACACCCUAGAUUUACUAUGUUUGAGAUGUUUCUAUUAGGAAUGUGGCCUAAUUUAAUUCAAAUGCUAGCUCAAGAGUUAAGGAUUGCUACAUCCUAUAUAUAUUGCCCAAAUAUCUUAAUCCCAAGCAAUGUGGGACAUUCUAAUAGGCCUCCUCGAGAUGUGGGUAGGAAACGGUCCAACGGAAAACAGCCCAAGCCCAACAUCUCGGAAAUACAACAAGACAUGCCACUUAUAUGGGCCACAUAGGUGGAAAAACAUUUUGCUUAGAUUAAGAUCUUUGGGUAGUAUAUAAAGGAUGUGACAAUCCUUAACUCUUGAGCUAGCUUUUAGGUUAAGUUAGGUUAUAUUCCUAAUAGUUUCACUUUCACUCAUAGCACAAAAGAUAAUUUUCGUUUCACUACUAAAAGAAAAAAUUUAACUUUUUUUUAGAACUAUCGUACAUUGACAAGUUUUAUUUAACUAAACAAUUCUUGUCGAAAAAACCUUGUUUAUUACUCAAAGUACUAAAAAAACUAGCACAUGUUUGUUAGUCAUUAUGAAUCAAUAGAAGCUUAACAAGCCUAUAUAUUUAGUAGUAUUAUUGAGAUCCAUGUCAGCCAUUCCAUGUUAACUUUUUGAAUGUAACUAUGAGUUCUCUGAUUUGGGAAAAAUACGGCUUCUAAGCCUUGUUAAUUAAACUACCAUUUGUUGCAGUGGAAAUAGUCGUGUCUCGUAUGUAGGAAACUUCUUGACUCUAGAAGUUGAUUUAAAGAUAACACUAUUAUAAAUCAAUAUAAGCUAUGGCUAUGGUUUUGACUUUUGCGUAUGAAGUCAUGCAUGCAAAUCCAAUUUUAAAUUAAAGAUAUAUAGAUUAAGUUAUCGAUAGACUUGUUAAACGUUUUUGAACUGCCACUUUGAAACAUGCGAAUUACAAAUUUAUAGAAAUAUCUUUGGACCACGUCAAAUAUGACAUGCGCUUUUGUCCUAUAAAUACUGAGCUCAAAUGCUUCACAAUUCACAACCAACACACACAAUUAUAAAAGUCUUUUAAAAGCAUUAGCAUAACCUUUUCUUUGAAAAUGAGGGUUCCCAUGUCUCUCGUCUUGAUUACCAUAUCAGCUUUGGUCAUUUCCUUUGCCGAAGCUUCUGAUCCAAGUCCACUUCAAGACUUCUGCGUGGCCAUUGGUGACCUCAAAAAUGGUGGUAAGUAUAAAACUCAAAUUCUUGAACUCUCAACUAAUUAUUAUUCUCCUUUAUUAUUUUGUAAGUUCGAUUCUCUUCAACUAAAUUAUUACUCUCAAUAUUUGUACUUGCAGUUUUUGUGAAUGGUAAGUUCUGUAAGGAUCCGAAGCAAGCGAAGGCAGAAGAUUUCUUCUUUGCAGGCCUCAACAAGGCAGGAAACACUACCAAUAGAGUCAAAUCCAACGUGACAACGGUCAAUGUCGACCAGAUUCCCGGGUUAAACACAUUGGGAAUAUCCUUGGUCCGCAUAGACUAUGCGCCUUAUGGACAAAACCCGCCUCACACGCACCCUCGUGCCACUGAGAUCCUUGUUCUUGUCGAGGGAACAUUAUAUGUAGGUUUUGUCUCUUCCAAUCAAGACAAUAACCGUUU
rnacentral:lncRNA from 1 species